rnacentral:lncRNA from 1 species
GAGGUCCUGUCUUUGUGGAAGAAAAGAGACACAGAGGUUGUGGUUUCUGUGCUUCCCUCAAAAAACCAUGGUACGUCCAUAAUUAUCCACCACAGUGAUCUGCGAACCCUUCGACCACACCUGUGGCUAACAGGCGAGGUAUAUCAAUGAUUAAUUUAAGCACUCAUAACCACAAUAAUUAGACUGUGUAAUGUAAUUCAAUUAAAAGGACAUUAUCAUGAAAUUAUUUAUCAUUAACAUAAUUUAAAGUAUAUAAAUUACAUAGCUUUUGUGUUUAUGCAAAUUCUUUACGUAGGUAAUUGAAGGCCUGUUUCAUUGUCUGGCAAAAAAGGAGCAAAAGGGGAUCUACAUUAUGAACCAUUACACAGCGGGCUUGAUUCUCUUUGGUGAUCGGACACAGCUUUCUCGCCAAAGCUUGCGGAACGUAAGAUGAUUGUCCAAUGUCCAUAUAAUUAUGUUCAAAUACAUUUAGAAAGAAUUACUGAUUGAAUGCUAACAGAAUUCCACAAACUGUAAGAAAUACAUACAUGUUUUCUGACAGGUAAACUUCGAUCGGUACCAGGCCAUUGUCAUGUUUGUUAACAUUAAAAAUGUACACUGGAAGUUUCUGUUCAUCAAUGCAGUGAAUCACACUGUUUAUCUCCUUGAUCCUGCCCCAAGUUCAUCAGAGGAGGAAGACUCUAAACUCGCUGCACGUAAAUUCAGUGAUUACUUAAAAAUGAGGAGAACCCGCCACGCAAAAACAGAAUGGGUGGACAUUAAAUGGAAGGGAGGUGUCUUGACCCAUCCAGUGCAGAAGGAUGGCUUCAGCUGUGGAGUAUUAGUGGUGAUGAUGGCACGGGCAGUGAUGAAAGUAUUUCCAGAUUUUCCCGUCAUGAAAUUUAAAACCUCAAAAGAAAAAAUGGCAGAGGAAAGAAAAUUGAUGGCUCUGGAGAUACUACAAGCAUCAGUUUUUGACACUAACAGCAACUGUGCCAUGUGAUCGCUGACUAAGCCACCUGGAUCAGGACCUUCAAUGAUGAACUGGAUACAAUAUGACACCUGUCAAAGAUGGUACCAUGAACAGUGCCUUGACAUGACCAACAAUGACUUUAAAAAAGCAAAGGAAGAAGCGUGGAAUUGUCUGCUGUGCUGUUAAACCCCAGACUUAUUGGAUGCUUGUGUCAAAAUAUUUGAAGACGUACUCUGUUGUCUCCACCAAAGUGAUAAAUUGAGCAACAUAAUACGGCGAAACGUUUUCAUACAUAUCUCAUGCACAUUUCCGUGAUGUUGUAAUUUACCUUUAAAGCACCUUUAAUGUUAUCAUGACUGCACCUUUUGGACUUUACAAUUUACUCUCCUUGUAUUGAGCUUUUCCCUUUUUCUGGGAUUUGUUUUCAAAGAUAAACAGAUUUACCUAUGUUACUUUUAUGAAAAUGGUUCUAUUUCAUAACAUUUCAAAUACAAAGAAAAGAUUGUGGCAUUAAUAUGUAAAGACAAGAAAUCCACUUGAGUAAAUUUUAAUAAAUAAAAUCAGACUGACUUGAUAUUGAUAUGGUAUCACUGUGGGGUUGUACACUGUUGAUCUAAAGUGGAAUUACCCUGUGGAAACAGCAAUUUUCCAUUUUAGAGCAUUUUGAAACCACUGAAAGUUAGGUCAAUUGUGGACAAUUUGAAAAGGCUUUUAUUUUUG